rfam:Citrus sinensis cultivar Ridge Pineapple sweet orange scaffold00154_contig_5, whole genome shotgun sequence.
AGCUCGUGGUAAGGGUAUUUUCUCAAUAAAUCAUUCCCAUGCUUUAUACAAAGAUUCCAUGUCAUGCUGAGUGAAAGCAGUGAUUUCAUUCCUCAUUCU